rnacentral:rRNA from 1 species
UACGGAGGGGGCAAGCGUUGUUCGGAAUUACUGGGCGUAAAGGGCGCGUAGGCGGCCUUGUAAGUCGAACGUGAAAUCCCCGGGCUCAACCCGGGAACUGCGUCCGAUACUGGAAGGCUUGAAUCCGGGAGAGGGAUGCGGAAUUCCAGGUGUAGCGGUGAAAUGCGUAGAUAUCUGGAGGAACACCGGUGGCGAAGGCGGCAUCCUGGACCGGUAUUGACGCUGAGGCGCGAAAGCCAGGGGAGCAAACGGG